rnacentral:lncRNA from 1 species
GCACGCACGCACGCACGUACUCGAGCGCAUAUACUCCCCACCUCCAAAAAAAAAAAACUCCUUAAGGGAAUCUACUGCCUGAGGACCUUUCUUUGAAGCCCUUGAAGAGUUAAUAAUGGGGAAUGCAGAUCUUCUAACCAGAAGGUGCUCCUUCCUGGUACAACUGACUGGAGUCGGCAUAAUCACUUUUACCACUAGGCAUUGUUGCCACAUUCACAGCAAUUGACUUUAUUCAUACUGGCACCAUCUUGACGCACC